rnacentral:rRNA from 1 species
UACGAAAGGGGGCUAGCGUUGCUCGGAAUCACUGGGCGUAAAGGGUGCGUAGGCGGGUCUUUAAGUCAGGGGUGAAAUCCUGGAGCUCAACUCCAGAACUGCCUUUGAUACUGAGGAUCUUGAGUUCGGGAGAGGUGAGUGGAACUGCGAGUGUAGAGGUGAAAAUUCAUAGAUAUUCGCAAGAACACCAGUGGCGAAGGCGGCUCACUGGCCCGAUACUGACGCUGAGGCACGGAAAGCGUGGGGAGCAAACAGG